UAACGCGAAGAACCUUACCUACUCUUGACAUCCAGAGAACUUAGCAGAGAUGCUUUGGUGCCUUCGGGAACUCUGAGACAGGUGCUGCAUGGCUGUCGUCAGCUCGUGUUGUGAAAUGUUGGGUUAAGUCCCGCAACGAGCGCAACCCUUAUCCUUUGUUGCCAGCGGUCCGGCCGGGAACUCAAAGGAGACUGCCAGUGAUAAACUGGAGGAAGGUGGGGAUGACGUCAAGUCAUCAUGGCCCUUACGAGUAGGGCUACACACGUGCUACAAUGGCAUAUACAAAGAGAAGCGACCUCGCGAGAGCAAGCGGACCUCAUAAAGUAUGUCGUAGUCCGGAUUGGAGUCUGCAACUCGACUCCAUGAAGUCGGAAUCGCUAGUAAUCGUAGAUCAGAAUGCUACGGUGAAUACGUUCCCGGGCCUUGUACACACCGAAAAAACUU
rnacentral:rRNA from 1 species